rnacentral:RNase_P_RNA from 1 species
UCAGUCGGCCGGACGGCCGCUCCCGCAAGGAUCGAAAGAUCGCGGGGGAGGAAAGUCCGGGCUCCAUCGACAUACGGUGCCGGAUAACAUCCGGCGGGGGCGACCCCAGGGAAAGUGCCACAGAGAACGAACCGCCUUCAUCUCGAUGAGGGCAAGGGUGAAAAGGUGCGGUAAGAGCGCACCGCGUCGCUAGCAAUAGGGACGGCAUGGCAAACCCCACCGGGAGCAAAACCGAAUAGGGACGGCAGCGCGAAAAGUUCGCUCUCGGGCGAUAACUUCGCAGGGCGAUGUCAGGCCCGCUGUCCGGGUAGGUUGCUUGAGGCGCAAGGCGACUUGCGUCCCAGAAGAAUGGCCGUCACGCCUUGCCGGCUCACGCCGGUCCGGCCCUCCAGAACCCGGCUUACAGGCUGGCUGACACU